CAGUAGCCGCGGUAAUACGAAGGGUGCAAGCGUUAAUCGGAAUUACUGGGCGUAAAGCGUGCGUAGGCGGUGAGUUAAGUCUGCUGUGAAAUCCCCGGGCUCAACCUGGGAAUGGCAGUGGAUACUGGCUCGCUAGAGUGUGUCAGAGGAUGGUGGAAUUCCCGGUGUAGCGGUGAAGUGCGUAGAGAUCGGGAGGAACAUCAGUGGCGAAGGCGGCCAUCUGGGACAACACUGACGCUGAGGCACGAAAGCGUGGGGAGCAAACAGGAUUAGAUACCCCCGUAGUCCCUGUCUCUUAUAC
rnacentral:rRNA from 1 species